UUUGCAAUGAGGCUAAGUCCUAAGUGCCACUCACUCUCCUUAAUCAAAGUUCUGUUUUUGGCCUGUUUCAAUUUGUUUCAAGAGUGACUCGCACUUCAGGCUCGAUCCACCCACCCACCCACCCACCCAUCCAUCCAUCCAUCUAUCCAUCCAUCCAUCCAUCCAUAUUCAUCCAUUAACCCAUUUUCUUUGAUUUUCACGGGUGUGCUGGGCCCAAUCUCAGCUGCCAUAGGCUGAGAGACAGUAAGCACCCCGGACACAUCACCAAUCUGUUGCAGAGCUAACACAGACAGAGAAGCAGACAACCACUGACUUUCACAUCAACACCUGAGAACCACCAGUUAACCUAACCCCAUGCAUUGGAGUGUGGGAGGAAGCAAGAGUACAUGAGAGAACCCACGCAGUUUCAGGGAGGACAUGCAAAAUCCAAACAGCAAGAAUCCAGGACUUUCUUGCUGUCAGGUAACAGUGUUAACCACUAAUUUGCUUGACUGCUUAUAUGUAAACAUGUAUUACCAUGGCACUAAGAACCUGCCACUAAGAUCAGACCGAUCCAUUUAUAAGUAGUACUGAAUUUAAAAGUUGUUGCAUUAAAACAGACCAUUUUUGUUUUUCAUUGGUUAAGAUACUUAUGCCUUUGUUCAGUGAGUUUUCUGCUGCAUCUAUGGUGGACAGAGUUUGCAGUGAUUCCUGGGUUUUGAGCAUUAUGUGGUGUGCAUAUAUGAAGAGAGGUUCAAGGAAAUUGAAUCACUGCUCUGAUUCACAGCUGGAUUGCGGGUCCCGUGGCACAACCAAGCACUCUUUUCCAGAGACAUGGAUCCAUGCUAAGCUGACAUAACACCGAUCCAUCAUUUGUGGCUAAGGAGACUACGUUGGAAAGCUGACAGCUCAUUAUGUUUAAAUACCCACAUGAUUUGUUGUAUCCUCAGACUGGAUCUGCUGUAAUAUCACAACUGUUAUGUAGAUUUGUGAACUCAAAAAUUGUGUACAUUUAAUGUUAGUAGCACUGUAUUUUUUGAUUUCACUGUGACUUAGAAAUAUAAGCCAUUUUUGCACCCUGCCUCUUUUGGAGCUAUCUGGUGAUAACAAGCCAGGUGGUCUCUUCCUCUUUCAUAAAUAAUGCUUUCAAGAAUUUCAAGUUUUUAAGUACAAGUGGGUGCCUUCUCUGUGUGCUGACCAUUAAAAUCCUUCCCUGUAUGGCUCUGGGAUAUUUUCCUCUUGUGUGUAAUCCCAGUACAGAACUGGAACAUAAGAGAUUAGUGCAUGCACCUUGAUGUGGCCUGGUACACUAGUCAAACUUAUUAGGCUAACUGACACUCAAAAAGAAGUUUUGGGGCUUUUCAAUGACCUCUUUGAUAUUGAAGGGGAUUUUCGGGUUAUAUUAGCUAGCUUGACUAGAAGAUUCUUUCAGAGGUCUUUCAUUCUUCUUUCUUGUAUCUGGAGUCUGUUUGGACAAAUGUUCAAUUCAUAAAGGAAUAAUGGAAAUUAUUAAUGGAAUGUGCACUUUAUUGAAAAGGAUGUUGUUCUUUACAGACGGGACACUGUCAAGAUAGUGAAAACUGUAUCAACAGUAACAUGAUUUGUUUGUAUUCAGUGUAAAUAAAUGGCUCUGAUGCUG
ensembl:lncRNA